rnacentral:rRNA from 1 species
UUAUCCGGAUUUAAUUGGGUUUAAAGGUUACGUAGCCGGGAGCUUAAGUCAGUGGUGAAAUCCUGCAGCUUAACUGUAGAACUGUCAUCGAUACUGGGCUUCUUGAAUGUAGUUGAGCUAGUCGGAAUCUGUAAUGUAGCGGUGAAAUGCUUAGAUAUGACACAGUACACCGAUUGCGAAGGCAGCUUACUAAACUACGAUUGACGCUGAGGUACGAAAGCGUGGGGAGCGAACAGGAUUAGAUACCCUGGUAGUCCACGCUGUAAACGAUGAUCACUCGUUGUUGGCAAUACACCGUCAGCGACUGAGCGAAAGCAUUAAGUGAUCCACCUGGGGAGUACGACCGCAAGGUUGAAACUCAAAGGAAUUGACGGGGGCCCGCACAAGCGGAGGAACAUGUGGUAUAAGUCGAUGAUACGCGAGGAACCUUACAUGGGCGUAAAUGUAGAACGACGGACCGGGAAACUGGUCUUUCUUCGGACGGUCAGCAAGGUGCUGCAUGGCUGUCGUCAGCUCGUGCCGUGAGGUGUCGGGUUAAGUCCCAUAACGAGCGCAACCCUCAUCAUUAGUUGCCAGCGGGCAAUGCCGGGGACUCUAAUGAAACUGCCGGUGUAUACCGAGAGGAAGGUGGGGAUGAUGUCAAGUCAGCACGGCCCUUAUGUCCAGGGCUACACCAUGUUUUACAAUGGUCGGUACAAAGGGCAAGCUACCUGGCAACAGGAUGAUAAUCUUGAAAACCGAUCUCAGCUCGGCUCGAAGUCGGGCAAUUCGAGUUCGUGAAGAUGGAUUCGCUAGUAAUCGCGCAUCAGCCAUGGCCCGGUGAAUACGUUCCCGGCCCUUGUACACACCACCCGUCAAGCCAU